AGUACCCUUUAGAACCGUGGUAGUAUUUCUAGUAUUUGUAAAAAUUUCCAUCAAAGCAGCUCGGUUGCUAUGGAUGAAAAAAGUAAAGUUUGUUUGUGCCAAUCGAGGUGUCAACACGGAACGUUCAGCUGCAGAGGAAAUCUGUAUUUUCAAAUUUGUCCUGCAUAAUUUGAUUAGAAAAGUCAUCUCAUCGACGAUCAUACCAGUAUAAAUACAAAUCGUCCCUCAAAACAAUGUUUCCUCAAGUACUUCAGAGAUUAGAGGCAUACAGACACGAGCUUCCGAGCAUGAGUUGGAGUCCUUGGAGUUUUUUUUUCCUCGCUUAAAAAAGAAGAGAGGUUCUACUUUGUAUCAAUAUGCCUGCUUUUGUCAAUUUGACUGAAAUAAUAAAGAUUUGACGAAUGA